AUUUAGAGUCUCUGAAAUGCCAUUUCCUGGACCCUGCAGUCCCCCCGGUUGCUACAUACGGCCCUGGGCUACACGCGGAAAUGCACCGAAUGGCAAAUAAGGAUUACCACUCGAAAGUCUUGCUCGAUAUUUUUUUUCGUCCGUUUAUUCUUGCACGAUAUUUUUUUUAAGUUCGAAUUGCUUGCCCGAUAUUUUUUUUGGGAUUCUACCCCCCCCCCCAAUCAAAAAUCAAAUGGUCCGUCCCUUAGA